AUGCUCGCUUCGGCAGCACAUAUAUUAAACUUGGAACGAUACAGAGACGAUUAGCCUGGCCCUGCGCAAGGAUGACAUGCAAAUUUGUGAAGCGCUCCACAUAAAU